rnacentral:rRNA from 1 species
CCAAUAGCGUAUAUUAAAGUUGUUGCAGUUAAAAAGCUCGUAGUUGAACUUCGGGGUCUACCCAUUGGUCAGGCUUAAUUGUCUGUACUGGUGAGAUGGAUCUCUACCUUCUGAGGAACUUUCAUGCCAUUUAUUUGGUGUGAUUGGAAAUCAGGACUGUUACUUUGAAAAAAUUAGAGUGUUUAAAGCAGACUAUCGUCUGAAUACAUUAGCAUGGAAUAAUGAAAUAGGACGGACUGAUUCUAUUUCGUUGGUUUCUAGGAUCACCGUAAUGAUUAAUAGGGAUAGUUGGGGGCAUUAGUAUUCAAUUGUCAGAGGUGAAAUUCGUGGAUUUAUUGAAGACUAACUACUGCGAAAGCAUUUGCCAAGGAUGUGUUCAUUAAUCAAGAACGAAAGUUAGGGGAGCGAAGACGAUCAGAUACCGUCGUAGUCUUAACCAUAAAGUAUGCCGACUAGGGAUCGGACGAAGUUAAUUUUAUAAUGACGCGUGCGGGACCUUACG